rnacentral:rRNA from 1 species
GAACGCCUACGGGGCGCAGCAGUAGGGAAUCUUCCACAAUGGACGAAAGUCUGAUGGAGCAACGCCGCGUGAGUGAAGAAGGGUUUCGGCUCGUAAAGCUCUGUUGGUAGUGAAGAAAGAUAGAGGUAGUAACUGGCCUUUAUUUGACGGUAAUUACUUAGAAAGUCACGGCUAACUACGUGCCAGCAGCCGCGGUAAUACGUAGGUGGCAAGCGUUGUCCGGAUUUAUUUGGGGUAAAGCGAGU